rnacentral:tRNA from 1 species
GCCUAUAGCUCAAUGGUAGACCAUUUGUCUAGCACAUGCAGGACCCUGGGUUCAAUCCCCAGCAUUGCA